AUUCUGUGUCUCCCUCUCUCUCUGCCCCUCCCCUGUUCUCUCUCUCUCUCUCUCUCCCUCUCGCUCGCUCAAAAAUAAAUAAACAUUAAAAAAAAUUUAAAAAUGGUUUUACAAAUCACAUCUUAGCAAAGACGCGAAACCCCUCUGUCUCCUAGGUUUGCGAGUGGAAUGGGGCAGGGGAUAGGGUGUAGGGAGCUAUGCAUGUUUCAGUAAGACUUGGAAGUGCUCCAAAGAGACAUUACAUGAAGGCACUCUGGCAACCGACUGCUCUGAAGCCAAAAUGUCUUCAUUAUUAAUUUUCAAGAGAAAAUGCAGAGUAUUUUCUCUGGGAAAAGAGAAACUCCAGUGCAUUCAGUCCCAGGUACUCACCCACUCCUAUCGCAGGGCACGGCUCCCCAGAGAUCCAAACCAUCCCUUGUUAAGGUGCCUGUCUAAACAGAAACGAGGGCUCGGUUUACUCUGAAGCGACAGCCCCUAAGGUAUGUUUUAACAGGGAAAUACAUGUCACAAACACGUUACUGAAAUCAGCACCUCAAGGAAGGACACAGUCAGGUGGGAAUCCUGGGGUCCUCGGCAGAAGCUUGGAUGGCUCCUACCAGUUGUACCACCAAGCUGGCGAUAAAGGAAGAAAACGGUAUCUGUCUUAUAGACUUCAGAGGCUGGUUGUGAGGAUCUAAUGGGAAAGUCUUGGUAAGCCUGUAAGAGCUAUAAAAUGGGUGAGUCCCAGGUUUUACAGCAGAAGAUAAAAGUAGGUCAUCAGAAAUAAGUAAUGGGAGUAGACUUUUUCCCUGCUCUAAACAGGUGGUUUGCUCUUUGACACCUGUUAGGUAAAAGAGGGUGCUUUUUGGUAUUUCUCUCCGUACAGGAUAAUGAUGAAGAGCUUGGACUCAUUUAAAACACUAGCUGUAUGACCUGGGAGAGUUAUUUAAUCCCUCUGAACCUCGGAGCCCUUACCUGUACAAUGUGCUUAUAAUCGGAUGAGGUUAUUGUGAACGUCAAAUUAGAUAAUACAAAUAAAGUGCUUGAUUUAAUGUCUGACACAGAGUAAGAGCAAAUUAUGAUAAUUACCCCUAAUUAUUACUUAUUUUAUGCAAAUUCAUGUCAUAAUGAUUUGUCCCACCCCUGCUUCUUUUGCCAAGGGCAGGGAUGAGAUGACCCCACAAAUAGAACAUUCUUCUUUGUUAUGCUAAUUGGAUCACAAAGUAAUUCAGAAAUGCUGGCAAGAGCCAUGUUAGCCUUCUGAUCGUGGUAGGUCUCGCUGAUAGUCCAGUAACCAUGUAAUAUAGCUCUGAUCCUAUUACUUUUCUGUCCUCAAGAACUUCAGUGUCCUGUUUAAUGGACACAGGGUUUCCAUUUGGGAAGAUAGAACAAUUCUCAAGAUGGAUGGCGGUGAUGAUUGCGCAACAAUAAUCUGGAAGCUCAAGAGACGUGCCUUUCCUACAUUACGCAUCCAACCAGAGAUAAAAGAAAUGUUGGCACAACAUCUCCUCAAAUGUGCACUCGUGAGAACUCGAAGCACUGUGAUCUCAAGGUCUCUUCUCUCUGGACCUCAGCUUCCAUAUCCAUGAGAUGCAGUGACCUCUAAGGUCCCUCCCUGCUCUAGCAGCAUACUACUUAAAAAUGAAAUUCAAUUAGUCCUAAAGUCCCAGUGUGUUUUCAGGCAGCAGAUGUGUGACAAAUCCUUUGUCGUGAACCUUUUCACAUAUUUAAGCCAAGGCAGGGAAGAGCUUGGACUUGACCUUCUGGGUUUCAGGAUGUCAUCAAUAGCUUUCAUAUCUUCCAAGUUUAUCAAAAGAUAUAAUUUAUAUGAAAAUACUGAACAUAAAAGUCACAGAUGAUUUGAAAUGUCUAAUGAUCUCUACAGUCUUCUAAGGUAAAGCGACAGGGUUGCAAUAACCUUUGUUCAAGAAGAAAAUGCUAAGCACUCAGAAAAUUACAACUGUAUCAAACUUAGGACACAGAAAGCAGCUUUAAUUUGAACUCUCCCAUCCAGAGCAGGACAGUCAAGUAAGAAUUGUGGGAGUGUAAUAUCCCACAGCAAGCCCCAGCUUUGCCACGGUUGUUCUGAUAGAGAAGGAACCUGGGAGAGCUUGCCAAGGCUGUAAGUUGUGAGACAGAACCGUACCUGUCA